rnacentral:rRNA from 1 species
GAUGAACGCUGGCGGCGUGCCUAAUACAUGCAAGUCGAGCGAACGGACGAGAAGCUUGCUUCUCUGAUGUUAGCGGCGGACGGGUGAGUAACACGUGGAUAACCUACCUAUAAGACUGGGAUAACUUCGGGAAACCGGAGCUAAUACCGGAUAAUAUUUUGAACCGCAUGGUUCAAAAGUGAAAGACGGUCUUGCUGUCACUUAUAGAUGGAUCCGCGCUGCAUUAGCUAGUUGGUAAGGUAACGGCUUACCAAGGCAACGAUGCAUAGCCGACCUGAGAGGGUGAUCGGCCACACUGGAACUGAGACACGGUCCAGACUCCUACGGGAGGCAGCAGUAGGGAAUCGUCCGAAAUGGGCGAAAGCCUGACGGAGCAACGCCGCGUGAGUGAUGAAGGUCUUCGGAUCGUAAAACUCUGUUAUGAGGGAAGAACAUAUGUGUAAGUAACUGUGCACAUCUUGACGGUACCUAAUCAGAAAGCCACGGCUAACUACGUG